rnacentral:tRNA from 1 species
ACGCCAGUAGCUCAGCUCGGUAGAGCAGCGGACUCCAAAUCCGCAGGUCGGGGGUUCGAGCCCCUCCUGGCGUGCCA